rnacentral:sRNA from 1 species
UCGAGCAUCCCUUGGAUAGGCCGGGUGUCAGGCCUGGUCUCUCAGGCCCGUCCAGGCCCAUCUUGACGAUUCCAAGACCACCCCCUUGAGCAAGAAUGCCAUCCCCUCUGGGUCCCCCAUGCCUGCCCCUCAUGGACCCAGAGACCACCCUUGAGGAGCCUGAGACUGCCCGCCUCCGCUUCCGAGGGUUCUGCUACCAGGAGGUGGCAGGUCCCCGAGAAGCCCUGGCCCGGCUGCGUGAACUGUGUCGCCAGUGGCUGCAGCCUGAGGCACACUCCAAGGAGCAAAUGCUGGAGAUGCUGGUGCUGGAGCAGUUCCUGGGCACACUGCCUCCCGAGAUCCAGGCCUGGGUGCGCAGUCAGCGGCCAGGCAGUCCUGAGGAGGCCGCUGCCCUAGUCGAAGGACUGCAGGAUGACCCUGGGCAACUGUUGGGCUGGGUGAGUGUGGCUGGCAUCAGCUUCUUGGAGGGAUAGACCCUGGCUAGAGCCGUUGUGACCUACCUCUUCUCCUCAGAUCACAGCCCAUGUCCUGAAGCAGGAGGUGCUCCCUGCAGCCCAGAAGACAGAGGAACCACUGGGGAGCCCCCACCCCUCAGGGACAGUGGAGUCCCCUGGGGAGGGUCCCCAGGUCACCAGAAUAGAGAGGUCUGUCCAGCUCAGCUGCAGUGUGAAGGAGGAGCCCAAUGUCGAUGGACAGGAAGUGGCACCCUCCAGCCCUCCACUUGCAGCGCAGUCCGCUGAGGGGCACCAUGGACACCAAGAACCAGCCUCCACAUCCUUCCACCCACCGAGGAUUCAGGAGGAGUGGGGGCUGCUGGACCGGUCACAGAAGGAACUGUACUGGGAUGCGAUGCUGGAGAAGUACGGCACGGUGGUCUCCUUGGGUGAGGACCAGCCAGCCCCAACCCGCCCCUCUCCCUGGGGCCUGCACCCACCCUGCAGCAGGCCUAGCUGGGCAGGGCCUCUGUGCUACCAGCCCUACCCAGCUCUCCCACCUUCCAGAGGAACACCCUGUCACCUACCAGAACCAACCCCACCCCUCCUUCAUGCAAACCCCACGCCUAACUGUGCCCCCCACCCGGGCAGGGUUACCGCCCCACCAGCCAGAGGCACAGGCCCAGUCAGAGCUGGGGAUGCUGCUCACGGGGACAGGCGUCUGCAGAAGCCUGCGCUCGGGAAAUGAGAGUGAGGGUCUACCCGGCUGCCCAGAGGCCCAGCCGCCCCAGGGCCCAGGGCCUGCAGCCUGGGAGGGCUUGUCUGGGGCUGCCACUGCUGCCCCCACUGUGCGCCCAAGGACACCGCCAGUGCCCACUCAGCCCAAACCUGCAGAGACGAGACUGGAGCCGGCUGCCACCCCCAGGAAGCCCUACACGUGCGAGCAGUGUGGCCGCGGCUUCGAUUGGAAGUCAGUGUUCGUCAUCCACCACCGGACACACACGAGUGGGCCAGGUGCGCAGUCCCCGGGGCUAGCCACCGGGGAAAGCACAGAGAAGCCACCACAAAGGGAGCUGGCCUUUCCGCACCACCCCCGACGUUCACUCACAGGCCCCCGGAGCUACCCAUGCGAGGAGUGCGGGUGCAGCUUCAGCUGGAAGUCGCAGCUGGUCAUCCACCGCAAGAGCCACACAGGCCAGCGGCGCCACUUCUGCAGUGACUGUGGCCGCGCCUUCGACUGGAAGUCUCAGCUGGUCAUCCACCGCAAGGGCCACCGGCCGGAGGCUCCAUGAGCAGCCAGACAGCACAGUCCCUCGGGGCCUCGGUGUUCUCAAGGCCUGGAUACAGCCUCUGGGGCACCAGCAGAAGACUCUGGAGGCAGCAGGGGAUGCCAGAGUGAACAAGGGGUCCCAAGCCAGUUCCCUGCCCCUGGUCUGGUCUCCCCCAAAAGACCUGGGUGCAAGGAAAAGGAGCUGCUCCCUCUCUUCUUGCCCCUGCCUCCUAGAGGGAGGUCUGGGUUCCCUUCUAUGGCUGACCAGUGCCUGUGGGGUGACUGCCAAGCACCAGGCGCCCUCCCUCCCCGUGACAUGGCCUGGGCUGACAACACUCCCUCUCCUGGGACCUCCUUGCCUCAGGUGGGUGUUCAAAAACUGUGCCUUCCCACCCGUCUGUGCAGAGGCUGGGCCUGAGGUCUCAGUGUGGAGAGCAGCAGAAGACCCAGGAAGCACAGUUGGCUUCCGUUUCUCCUGCUCCGUGUGUGUUAGAAUUUUAACAUAAAUUCCACUUUCAUAAUA